rnacentral:ncRNA from 1 species
UCUUAUAAAGAGCGGUGGAGGGACUGGCCCUGUGAAGCCCAGCAACCUACUUUUAAAAGGGUAGAAAAUAGAAAGUUUAGAUUUAUUCUAGAUAUGUUUAUUUUAUAAAACCUAAGUUUAAAAGUGUGGUGCUAAUUCCUGCAGCUAAUUUUUAGCUGAAAUAUGAGA